rnacentral:pre_miRNA from 1 species
AGCUUUUUGAAUCCGUGCUGAGAUUUCGGCAGACAUCAACUCAUUAUGGCUGGUCAGACUUCCAAGAUAAGUGGAGUU